CCACAACAUGAGCAUGCUGGAACCACAAGUGGGGCUGAAGCUACAGUGGAAGGCACAAUGGACAUCCCUACUGAAGACAGCACCCUGUCACACAUUUCAC